UGUGGUCGCCGGAGCAUUUCGACAUGUAACGGACAAUACUUACCCUAUAGCACACUCUACAUGUCCGACAGGUUCUACAAUGGCUUUUGGAAAAUAGACUUCAUGUGAAAGCGGAGAAGUGCGAGUUUCACACAAGCAUGGUGAGCUUCCUGCGGUUCGUCAUACAGCAGGGGAGGAUUAAAGCAGAUCCAGGUACGGUCCAUGCUGUCACGGACUGGCCGGUCCCUGAAAACAGAAAAGAUCUACAACACUUCCUUGGGAUUGGCAAAUUUUACAGACGUUUCAUAAGAAACUACAGCACCAUUGCAGCACUGCUCAUCAAGCUGACUUCCACCACCUCCAAGUUUAGCUGGUCAACCGAGGCUGACCGCACCUUCGAGUUACUUAAGGACAAAUUCACCUCUGCUCCAAUCCUCAUUCAGCCAGAUCCCACUCACUAGUUCAUUGUCAAGGUGGACGUAUCAGAUACAGGAGUGGGAGCCGUACUCAGUCAGAGAUCAGAACAUGAUAAUACUGUUCACCCCUGUGCGUUCUUUUCUCAGCGACUCACCUUGGCUGAACAAAAUUAUGAUGUUGGUAACAGAGAACUGCUAGCCAUAAAACUCACCCUGGAGGAGUGGAGACACCUCUUAGAAGGAGCUGAGGUUCCAUUCACAGUAUGGACUGACCAUAAAAACCUGGCAUAUCUCCAAACGGCGAAAAGACUCAACACACGACAGGCCAGGUGGGUGCUUUUCCUUGACAGAUUUAACUUCACUCUCACUUACCGACCUGGUUCUAAAGAUCAAAAACCUGACUCACUAUCACGGCAAUUCAGUCCCACACAUGACAAUCACAAAGACAAAAGCAUAUUACUCAGCAUUCAACUCCCUCCAGGGAGCCACAAUCGUUACCAAACUCGACCUCCGCAACCUCCUGUAUUAUUGUAGCUGUUACCUGGGACAUCUUGCAGAAGAUCACUUAAGCCCAAGCAGGGCAGCCAGACCCUGGGGGGGUCCUCCUGGUUGAACCUUCAUACCUGAUGCCGUGCACGCAGAUGUGUUAAACUGGGCCUACACUUCUCGAACUAAGGAAUGCAAUCACCAGCAAGCUGAUCCGUCGGCCAGCUCCCCAGUAUGCGCCAGGUCAGAGAGGUUGGCUGGCUGCAGAACACAUCCCUUUGAAGGGAGAGUCCCAGAAGCUGAGUCCUCGGUACUUCGGCCCUUUCGAAAUUGAGACUGUAUUGCAUCCCACUGCCGUGUACCUAUGCCUGCCCAGGAACAUGCGCAUUCAUCCUACCUGCCAUGUCUCCCACAUUAAACCAUUGUCCACCAGCCCCCUCUACACCACGGCUGCUCCUCCGCCUCCUCCCAUUGAGGUGGAUGGGGCCCCUGACUUUUUGGUCUGCUGGCUUUUAAACAUCUGUUGUCUGGGCCGGGGACUUCAGUAUCUGUGGACUGGGAGGGUUACAACCUGGAGGAGCGCUCCUGGGUGCCUCGCUCAUUUAUUCUGGACCCGUACCUGAUUCAAGACUUCCACGCCCGACACCCUGGUGGGUCGCCCGGCACUGUUAUGGCUGCAGAUCAGUGCACUCCCAAUCAGCAGAGCAUUACUUAAGGAGAGUGUUGGUGUGUUCUCAUCACCAGAUGAUCUCUCGAUGUCCAGCAAUUCUUCAGUAAGCUUCUGAUAUGACUAACUUGUGUUUCUUUUUGCCUGGGUGAUCCCUGUAUUGUUUCAUGCAUUUUUUCUGAACUGUGAGCUGAACCGAACUGUGAACUGAAUUAUUUGCUUUCUGCCAGAGGAAAUCCACUUGAAUAUUGUUUAGUAUGAACUAUUGUUUCUGGGAAUUUGACUCCUGUCUCUGCUCUACUGAAUGCUGCUGUGUUCUCGUCAGUUUGAGUUUUCACUGCUUGUUUUAAGUUUCCUCUAAACCUGUGCACAUGCUGCGAUCUCCUUGCAAGUUCGAGUUUUUUCUAGGAUGAUCCUGUGACUCGGCUACCCAGGCGGACCUCCCACACUGGUGUAGAGCUGGGCUGCAGCCAACCCUCCUGUGAACUAUCACUUCCACUGCCAGCAGAUUCAUGCACCGGCCAGAAGGCACCUCAUCACCUCCUGCCUCCCUGCACAACACUCAUUCAUCAUAACCCAGUGGUUGCCUCUACUCGCUGUAUGCCCGGGUUUCUCAUCUAGUGGUCCAGUCAACAUAGCUCCCAGUCGCCCGUGCCUGACAAGCUGAAACGUCCACACUACAUCUUAUAUUUUCUGUUACCACUGCUGAUUAAAAAUUGCUUUGAUCUUGAGUCUUUGUCACAUCCUGCAUUUACUGGGUCCUCAGUUAUUUCUGAUGGCUAGCCAACAAGAACUCCAAGACGUACACCACUAUUGACCCAAAAGCACAAAUUUUUUUUUGUCUCCAUUAUGCUCAAAAUCAUAUAAAUUAGCCAUAGAUGUUUUGGGACUCGAUUAAAUAAAGCUGGAACUUUUCAAGUCUAUGGAUCAGCAGCAUGUCUGGAGGAAGAAGAAUGAAGCAUACGCUGAAAAGAACACCCUACCUACAGUGAAGCAUGGUGGUGGCUCGGCUGCUUUGCUUCCUCUGGCACUGGGAACCUGCAGCGUGUGGUAGGCAAGAUGGAUUCAUUGAAGUAUCAGGAAAUCUAGGAGAAAACAUCAUGCCAUCUGUGAAGAAGAUGAAGAUUGGGUAUCAUUGGACCUUCCAACAGGACAAUGAUCCCAAGCAUACCUCAAAGUCCACCAAAGCUUGGUUGCAGAAGAGGUCCUGGAAGAUUCUAGACUGGCCGUCGGACCCUAUAGAAAUCUCUGGUGGGGUUUGAAAAAGGCAGAUGCAGCACGCAAAACCAAGAAUAUUAGUGAACUGGGGACCAUUGCCCAUGAGGAAUGGACUAAAAUUCCUCAGGAAUGCUGCCAGAAGAUGGUGUCUUGCUAUGCAUCACAUUUGCAGCAAGUCGUGACAGCAAAAGGGUGCACUACUAAGUACUAAAUGAAGGGGUUGAAUAAUUCUGAGACUGAAGUUACUAAAAGUUGCAUUUUGUGUUGAAUGUGGAGAAACCACUUGUUAUAUUAAUUGUGUUGUGCUAUUUCAAAUGUUCUUGUCUGAUUUGUUCAUUGCAGAUGGCUGAAAGUGUGUAAAUUUUGCCAGUGCACCUAAUAUGCAAUGGGGGUUGAAUAAUUACAACUAUAAAA